rnacentral:rRNA from 1 species
ACGAACGCUGGCGGCAUGCCUAACACAUGCAAGUCGAACGAGACCUUCGGGUCUAGUGGCGCACGGGUGCGUAACGCGUGGGAAUCUGCCCUUGGGUACGGAAUAACAGCGAGAAAUUGCUGCUAAUACCGUAUAAUGACGUAAGUCCAAAGAUUUAUCGCCCAGGGAUGAGCCCGCGUAGGAUUAGCUUGUUGGUGAGGUAAAAGCUCACCAAGGCGACGAUCCUUAGCGGUCUGAGAGGAUGAUCAGCCACACUGGGACUGAGACACGGCCCAGACUCCUACGGGAGGCAGCAGUGGGGAAUAUUGGACAAUGGGCGAAAGCCUGAUCCAGCAAUGCCGCGUGAGUGAUGAAGGCCUUAGGGUUGUAAAGCUCUUUCAGCUCCGACGAAGCGAGAGUGAC